rnacentral:rRNA from 1 species
UCGGAGAGUUUGAUCCUGGCUCAGGAUGAACGCUGGCGGCGUGCCUAAUACAUGCAAGUCGAGCGAACUGAUUAGAAGCUUGCUUCUAUGACGUUAGCGGCGGACGGGUGAGUAACACGUGGGCAACCUGCCUGUAAGACUGGGAUAACUUCGGGAAACCGAAGCUAAUACCGGAUAGGAUCUUCUCCUUCAUGGGAGAUGAUUGAAAGAUGGUUUCGGCUAUCACUUACAGAUGGGCCCGCGGUGCAUUAGCUAGUUGGUGAGGUAACGGCUCACCAAGGCAACGAUGCAUAGCCGACCUGAGAGGGUGAUCGGCCACACUGGGACUGAGACACGGCCCAGACUCCUACGGGAGGCAGCAGUAGGGAAUCUUCCGCAAUGGACGAAAGUCUGACGGAGCAACGCCGCGUGAGUGAUGAAGGCUUUCGGGUCGUAAAACUCUGUUGUUAGGGAAGAACAAGUACAAGAGUAACUGCUUGUACCUUGACGGUACCUAACCAGAAAGCCACGGCUAACUACGUGCCAGCAGCCGCGGUAAUACGUAGGGUGCAAGC